rnacentral:rRNA from 1 species
UACGGAGGGUGCGAGCGUUGUCCGGAAUCACUGGGCGUAAAGGGCGCGUAGGCGGCGCGGGAAGUCAUCGGUGAAAGUUCAGGGCUCAACUCUGAAUCGGCCGGUGAUACUCUCGUGCUCGAGCACUGUAGAGGCAGGUGGAAUUCCGGGUGUAGCGGUGGAAUGCGUAGAGAUCAGGAGGAACACCGAUGGCGAAGGCAGCAUCCUGGCCGAGUACUGACGCUGAGGCGCGAAAGCGUGGGGAGCGAACGGG